GUGAGAGUUGAGACGAGACGUGAGAUACGUUCGUAGCGGUCGAUAGAGCUUCCAACCCAGGUUAUUCAGUUUAGCUUUUACCCUUACUAUUUUAUUGAUUUAGCUUAGACAGUUGUAUGGUUCAGUAUUUUUAUUACAUGUGAAUAUGUGGGUUUUCAUGAAUGUAAUAAAAGGAUUUAUGGAUCUUGGUGAAAUGGAAAAAUGGUUUUCUACCCCUCGUGGUAGUGUUUUAAAGGAAAAGGGUUUCCGUGUGGAAAACAGAUUUGAAAAAGGUAUUCUUGUGGUUGUAUCCUGGUUAUGUACUUGUACUUGUGCGACGUCGUGCAAAUACAGGGGAGACUCUGUCCGUGUGAACAGUGGACUCCCUGUAUUUGUGGCGGAUCUGGCAUACCGUGG
rnacentral:lncRNA from 1 species